AACUAUAUCAGCAUUUUGAUGAUCAACAUAAAUCAAAUAAGGAGACACCUUUCCUUGAGUAUCUUCAUGACUUCUCUUUACAAUAACCCAAUCUGGAUCAAUGCCAUAUCCACCAGGUGGAGUCGAUAUGGGAUUUCUAAUAUCAUCCUCAUAUACUGCCAUAAUAUAUCGACAGAACCUUGGCACAGGCUCAAACUCACUGGCAAUUGCAA
rnacentral:misc_RNA from 1 species